CCUGAUGUAAAUUGGAAAACAAAAUUAGCUACUUGUGCCAGGAGCACACAUAUUCUAAACUCCUUACUGGGAUUGUCUCUAAAACAAGUUGUUGAGGAGCCAACUCGUAAAGAGGCCAUACUAGAUUUAGUGUUAACAAAUGGAGAUUUGGUAUCAGAUGUUACUGUAGGUGAAAGUUUAGGAUCCAGUGAUCAUCAGUCAGUGUGGUUUAAUAUAAGAACAGAGUCACACCACACAAAAACAAAAGUUUUAGACUUUAGAAAAACAGACUUUUCUAAAAUUAGAAUAUGGGUAGAGGAGUCAUUAUCAGACUGGAGCAAUUUAAAUGGAGUCCAAGAAAAAUGGGAUUAUUUAAAAGUUGCACUAUUGAAGGCAACAGAAAA